rnacentral:lncRNA from 7 species
UUUGGUGCUCAUCAGGGAAAGGAAGAGCCCUACAAUGCUAGAGAGCAUGGGUCUGGGUUCUGGUUCUGAAUGGUUGUGCUGAGAUGUUCUCCUCCUGUUCACCAUUCAAAGCCUAGUGUGGCUGACUGGGAAGACUCGUUGAGCUGUCCUGCUUGCUUCAAAGUUCUAUGUGUCUGAAGGGAAAUGAGCGAAGAGCCGCCGUGGGCUGCAGCAGCGGUUUCUUCACAUAAUCCUGGCGAUGUGUUUUGCUGAUACUUUGCACAAGGGCAUACGAGGUUGCAAAGCCACCUGGGAGAGUGCUGGAGUGGAGCAGAGGGAAGCAACCACAGCGCAGUCUGGUCUAGUGAGACUAAUGGUCAUGUCAGGGGAAAAGUCCUGCUGUGACCCAGCCUCGGUGUGCGUGGCCAAGCCCUGUGCAGACAGCUGCUGGGGAAGGUCCAGGGAAGAACCAGAAGUGAGCUGGCCUUUGGUAGCAAAGCUGUGCUAAGUAGUCGAGAUUUAGAGCUGGACGUUCUCCCCAUCCUCUUUAGUAAAGAUGCCAACGUAUCCUGUAUUCAAAGCUCUUUGCCAGGGGGUUCACCUUGCUGCAGUCUGCACCUCGUGUCUAUGCUCUGUGGUUUGUGGUGGAGAUGAUUGCUUUGGCAACUGGCCUUCAGGGCUGCUAGCACCCUGGCAGCCAUCCUACAGCCACAUGAGAGCCACCUAAACAGGAUGUUCUCUCCAGCUUCCAGGACCCCCAGGAUGCAUUCCUGUCGCCAAUGAGAUCUUUACUUCUGUGGCUGAUGGGCUCUGAGUGAGCCCAGUCUGGAGAAGGGCUGCUGUCUCACCUUUCCCCAGCACCUGUGGUGGGAUGAGCUCCCCUCCCAGCAAUGGGCUGCAGAGAGGAGGAGGAAGGACGUGGCUGGGGCAGCCCAGAGCUAUUUGCAGAGCUCUGCUCUUGACCCAGGAGUAGGAUUACAGCCUUCUAGUUACACUUUCCCCGGUGCAAACCAAUGCUGAAACAGUGCUGCGAGGGCUUGGAUGCAGUGCAGCUGUAAGGAAUAACUGAGCCGUGUAUGUAAAUCUAUUAUUUCUACAGUUAUUGUGGCUUCUGCUUUGUCUCCGUUAUCUGAGAAGGCGACUCCUGGCAUUCUAAUAAAACUAUGGAGUUAAUUUUAAUUACUGACAUCUGCAGCUUGGGUUGCUAUAGAAACACAAAGAACUGCCACUUCUACAAGUUUCAUCUGUAACUUGCUGCCUGGAAGUGUGUGGGGUCUGAUUCCUCCCUCCCAUCUCACAGUAGCAAAGCAGGGAUGGCUGCUGCAUCGGUCAACUGUAAAGGCUGUACAGUGAGUAUAGGUGAGAGGAAAAUCUCCAUCUUAUCUGUGCCAUUUCUCUGUAAUUGUCAAAUAAAAUCAGUAUGUUCCCAGUUUCCUAAUGACUUUAAAAACAGUCCCCAGUCAGUUGAUGAAAGAAACUGGAGCACAAAAUGGUUGAUAUUAGAGUUGAAAAGCAGCUAUUAGGUCAUGCAGUCCCCAUGCAGAAUUGUUCCUAUGCUAUUUUUUCCUACUACUUUUCACUGUCUAAUUAUAAAUGCAGCUGCAUUUGUAACAAAAUCCCCUUCAGUUUUAGUUUUAGGGCCAGAAUCUCACACCCAGAGCACAAGUUACUGGACAAAGGAGGUUAUCUGAGUGUCUCCAUUCUGAACUCCCUUGUCAGUUUGCAGCUACCUUUGUAGGCUGAGUCUUUAAGUUUUUAUUCUUCUGUCUGGGAGUUAAUACAUAGAUAACUCCCAAAUGAAUGCUUCCUAUUGCUGAUUAUAGCCUCUCCACAGCUA